rnacentral:rRNA from 1 species
AUUGUUUUUGUUUUUAUUUUUGAAUAAGAAUAUAAAUUGUAGUACCUUUUGUAUCAGGGUUAUUUAAUUAAAUAAUUAAUUAAAAUUUCUCGAUAUUAAUUUAAAUAAAUAAGAUUAUUAUAUGUUGAAUAAUUAUAUAAACUUAUUUAGUAGUGAAAAUUUUUCGUAGUUAAAGGUAUCUAGUUAUUAUAAUGAGAUAAUAUAAGGGAUAAGCUUUUUAUUUCAGUAUAUUUUAUAAUGUGUAUGAUAAAUUAGGCUUAAAAUUAGCUUUAUUAAUAAUUUGUUUUAAAAUUUUUAUGCUUGAGUUAAUGUAUUAGGUUUCGUAUAUAAAUUAAUUGGAUUUGAUUGUUUUUUUUGUAAUGAAUAAAUUAGUAUUUUUUUUUUCUGUGAGAUAUAACUCGAACUUUAUAGAAUGGUUUAUCAAAAACAUUUUUAUAUUUGUAUGUAAUAAGGCCUGCCCAGUGUAUGUAUAAACGGCUGCGGUAUUUUGACUGUGCUAAGGUAGCAUAAUAAUUUGUUUUUUAAUUGAGAACUGGAAUGAAGGGUUUUAUUUAUAAGGAUGUUUAUUUACAGAGUAAAUAAUUUAUAUUUGUGGUAAAAAUACCAUAAUUAAAUAAAGUGACGAUAAGACCCUAUAAGCUUUAUUUAAAAAAUAAGUGGGCUAAGUAUUUAAUGUUUUUUUAUUUUUAUUAAUUUUGCUGGGGCAGUAAUAUUAUUUGAUUUAAUAAGAUUUUAACAUGGGUUAAUGAGUGUGCGAUCUUUUUAUAAAGAUAGGUAGUAAAAGUUACUGUAGGGAUAACAGCGCAAUAAUUUUGGAGAGGCCUUAUUAAUAAAGUUGAUUGCGACCUCGAUGUUGAAUUAAGAUUUCUUUUUGUUGCAGAAGGCAAGAAAGAAGGUUUGUUCAACCUUUAAAUUUUUACAUGAUUUGAGUUCAAAUCGGUUUAAGCCAGAUUGGUUUCUAUCUUUUAUAUAUAGUGAUUUGUGUAAGUACGAAAGGGACACAUAAAGUUU